AUUGCAUAUAAAUAUAAAGCAGUGUUGGAAACGUUUUAGGCAGUUUAUUUCCGCGAUAUUUUGUUUUGGAAACCUACUAUUUCCGACGGACGGGUCUUCGUUUGUAAGAUAACCACACACUCGUGCGGGCUUGACGAAAGGCGCAUGCGACAUAGCUACUGUGACGUCACUCGCCAGGCAAUCGGAUUCGACCGUUUCUCAUUACACGGACUCGCCGAACGCGCGUAAUUUUAAUUUGUCUCAUCCCUACGUAAUUCUGAAUACGUUUACGUUUGUAUGAGCUUUUACAAAGCACAUAUUUAAAGGGUUGCAAACCGAAAACAAAGGGUUGCAAACCGUUUUUUUUUUCGCGCCUGCCGGCGCGAAGACUUCCUUUUUUUCUGGUUUUUGCAACCCUAACGUUUAGUAAAACUUUACGCCUAUGCUGUAGCAGACACGAUGUUGCCGAAUGUAAAAAUUUUAUUACAAAUAUUUUGGACACUUCCGGUGACCACAGCAUCGGCAGAACGAAGUUUUUCGCAGUUACGAAGGUUGAAGACUUAUCUUCGUAACACGACAAAAGAAGAACGCCUAACUUCGCUUGCGUUAAUGAAUGCGCAUAGAGACGUUCCCCUUCCCACAGAUAAAAUCGUGAGGAUUUUUGCAGAAACGAAAUCCCGCAAACUUGAUAUUCUAUUGUAAUUUAUUUAUAUAUGCAUUUUGUUUGUUUUAAUUGAAACUGUUUUUUGUUUUCGAUUUCUUUAAUAAAACUAUUUGAAUUUUGUGUGAUUGAAUAUAACUUUCUAUACACGCCUUCCUUCGAGAGCGGUUUCUUUUAAGACUAUCGAACGUAACGAUUAACCCACGAGACAGUCAAAGUAAGUGUAUUGCGAAUCGAAUAAAAACGAUAUACAAUAGUUUUUAUACGAUAUACAAUCGUUGUAUAGUCUAAAAACCCCACGAACACUAGAUUUAUAUUCAAAUAGGACCUACUUAAUGUUUAACAGCGUUCACUUUGGUUGAGAUAUCACCAAUGUUCCUAUCUGCAUAUCUUACGAUCAUUGACUUUAGCGAACUUGGCGACCGCUGGAUUACGCGAGUUUUAAAACCGUUGGUGAUUUUUAAAGGGGACGGUCCGGACCCAUCGGACCGACCCCCUGGCUACGCCACUGGUUGCCUGGCAACCCUUUGGUUUUUCUGGACCAAUAAUGAGUAAGGAACUACUUUCGACUUCGACCAAACGAAGACGUCAUUAUUACUGUGUUAUUUUUACAGGAGUGCGUUUAACUGGUAAGCACAUAUUUAAUGGGUUGCAAACCUGUUUUUUUAUCGGCGCAUACACCUUUUUUUCUGUUUUAUUGCAACCCUAACGUUUAGUAAAAUUUUACGCCUAUGUUAAAAGACGUCUCGUUUCGUAAUUCCCAGUAAUGCAAAUUGUAAAAUUCAUAUAAAAAAUAUUUAAUUAAAACUAUUUAUAACUGCCAGUGUGGCAACCAGCGCGUUCAAAAAGGGUAUGUCGUGCAGAUAUUUACAUCCAGUCAACGUUACCUCUGACGCGAUACAAACGCCUAAGGCAGGCGUGCCCUUUUGUUCUGCAGAAAAAUUGUCGACAACACCGAUACAUUUAGAAGCAAGAUGGAAACCGAAAGAGUGUGUGAAUUACAUGUAUCAGUUUGGAUAUACAUUCAUCAAUAAGCUACAGAGUGGUUUGUAAACCCAUCAUUUCAAGAAAAAGACAACAUACAUAACAUAAUACACAGUACUGACAUUAUACAUAGUACUGGGCUGCUGAAUCAAACCAACAAACUAAUCAUUGCUUUACUGUAAACAAGUGUAAUAGUAAAAU